rnacentral:rRNA from 1 species
AUACGGAGGAUCCGAGCGUUAUCCGGAUUUAUUGGGUUUAAAGGGUGCGCAGGCGGCCAUUUAAGUCAGCGGUUAAAUCGUGGGGCUCAACCCCAUUCUGCCGUUGAUACUGGGUGGCUUGAUUGCGGUCGAGGUUGGCGGAAUUCGUUGUGUAGCGGUGAAAUGCAUAGAUAUGACGAAGAACACCGAUUGCGUAGGCAGCUGUCCAGACCGCAAAUGACGCUCAUGCACGAAAGUGCGGGGAUCGAACAGGAUUAGAUACCCUGGUAGUGCGCACAGUAAACGAUGAAUACUUGUUUUCGGCGAUAUAAUGUCGGAGGCAAAGCGAAAGCGAUAAGUAUUCCCCCUGGGGAGUACGCCGGCACCGGUGAAACUCAAAGGAAUUGACGGGG